GAUGAACGCUAGCUACAGGCUUAACACAUGCAAGUCGAGGGGAAACGCCAUCGAAAGCUUGCUUUUGAUGGGCGUCGACCGGCGCACGGGAGAGUAACGCGUAUCCAACCUGCCCAUCACUUGGGAAUAACCUUGCGAAAGUAAGACUAAUACCCAAUGACAUCCCACGAAGACAUCUGAAUGGGAUUAAAGAUUUAUCGGUGAUGGAUGGGGAUGCGUCUGAUUAGCUUGUUGGCGGGGUAACGGCCCACCAAGGCAACGAUCAGUAGGGGUUCUGAGAGGAAGGCCCCCCACAUUGGAACUGCGACACGGUCCAAACUCCUACGGGAGGCAGCAGUGAGGAAUAUUGGUCAAUGGGCGAGGGCCUGAACCAGCCAAGUAGCGUGCAGGAUGACGGCCCUAUGGGUUGUAAACUGCUUUUAUAAGGGAAUAAAGUGGGUAUCGUGAGACUUUUUGCAUGUACCUUAUGAAUAAGGACCGGCUAAUUCCGUG
rnacentral:rRNA from 1 species